UACGUAGGUGACAAGCGUUGUCCGGAUUUACUGGGCGUAAAGAGCGCGCAGGCGGUCGAUCAAGUCGCGUGUGAAAGCCCCCGGCUCAACUGGGGAGGGUCACGCGAUACUGAUCGACUCGAAGGCAGGAGAGGGUAGUGGUAUUCCCGGUGUAGUGGUGAAAUGCGUAGAUAUCGGGAGGAACACCAGUGGCGAAGGCGACUACCUGGCCUGUUCUUGACGCUGAGGCGCGAAAGCUAGGGGAGCAAACGGG
rnacentral:rRNA from 1 species